rnacentral:lncRNA from 1 species
GCACCAACAUUGUUUCUUCCUGCCUGAUGUUCAGAGUCCAGAGAGAUGAACAAGAGGAAAUCAUGGAGUUCAGCAGCCCAGCUCAGGGGAUGGCUUGCCUACAGCAUAUUGUAGGGCCUGGGAGGCAUCAGGAGAUGGGAGAUAAACCUGUGGUAAUUAAGCUGCUGCCUUGCCAUUCCAUCUGCAUCUCAUCAGCUGCUGAUUUGAUGCUAGGAACCACCUAAUUUGUGCUGUUUUUCAGGCUUUGGGACUUCAUUGUUCAUGUUUGGGAUAUAUACUUCAUUGUUCAUGUUUGGGAUGUAUAUAUAUGCGACUCCUGUUCAUUUGAUGAUUGCAAAAACCUGCUUUCUGCAUAUGGCAGGUUUCUUCAGGGUAGGGAAAGGAACACUUCAUGAGGUGAUUUGAUCAGCUAAGCGUUGAAGACUCGUGAUACAGCUUCUUCCGUCGCUUUUGUCGGC